CUGCCCCUCGGACUGCAUGUGGGCUGCCUGCAACCUCAGUGUCCCCCGCCGUCCCCCAAUCACAUCCCUGGGGAAGCGUUUCCACUGUGCCUAUUUCACACUUGGGGAAAUUAAGGCAACGGGUGUGGUGAGGAAUGAAUUCAUCAGUCUAUGGCUGUACAACGUCAUUCAAAAAUAUUCACUCCCUGGAUCAAGGGGUGGAAAUACAGAAACAUCCCUGGAUUCUGAUGGACAAAUCAGGAGAGUAAACGUUGUGGUAUGGUAACAGCGGUGUGAAAAAAGAGCUGUGACAGACCAGCGGGGAGGAGAACACGCAGGACCUGACGUCUGAACUAUCUUCAAAGAUGAGUAGAAUUUUGACCGGAGGCACCCAUAUGAACAAGUCUGGGUUCACCUGCUGGAGCAUGGCAGAGCUUGGCUGACCCAGCUGAGACCAUCACCCAGGCGACUUGACUUGGCAGCUGACCUUCAUCUGAUAAGUGAACCCAACUAAGACCAGAAGAACCAGCCUGCUGAUCCCAGUCCAAACUUCAGAACUGUAUCAAGAUCAGAAAGAACAACAUUCAUCAAGUCACCUACAAACCUGAUGUAGAUUGUAAGAUCCUAGACUUCCAGCCUGAUGACAUAACAGCAAGAGACUUUUAGGGGUUCUGAAAUGGACGUAAGCGUAUUUUGC